AGCAGCCGCGGUAAUUCCAGCUCCAAUAGCGUAUAUUAAAGUUGUUGCAGUUAAAAAGCUCGUAGUUGAAUUUUGGAUUCUUCCAAUUGGUCCAUCUUUUAGAUGAGUACUGGUUGUGUGGGGUCUAUCCGCCUGGUGAUACGUAAUGUCCUUUAUUGGAUGUUGCGGGUAGUCAGGACCUUUACCUUGAAAAAAUUAGAGUGUUUAAAGCAGGCUUAUGCCGGAAUACAUUAGCAUAGAAUAAUAGAAUAGGACGAAGUUGUUUUAUUUUGUUGGUUUCUAGGACAACCGUAAUGAUUAAUAGGGAUAGUUGGGGGCAUUAGUAUUCAAUUGUCAGAGGUGAAAUUCUUGGAUUUAUUGAAGACUAACUACUGCGAAAGCAUUUGCCAAGGAUGUUUUCAUUAAUCAAGAACGAAAGUUAGGGGAUCGAAGACGAUCAGAUACCGUCGUAGUCUUAACCAUAAACUAUGCCGACUAGGGAUCGGGCGAUGUUGUUUCCAUGACUCGCUCGGCACCUUAU
rnacentral:rRNA from 1 species